CUGGGAGAAGGGAUUGCUAUAGAGGGUGACCGAGGGGACAGAAAGGGGAGAUGGCCAGGUAGCUAAAUGACAAUUAGUGGUACCCCGUAAAUAUAGGGCUGAGUUAUUACGCAUCAGCCAUGAUAUUCCCCUAGCAGGCCACUUAGGGAUAAAAAAGACUAGCGAUAGACUCACCCAGUCAUUCUUCUGGCCUGGAGUCACCAGAGAAUUACAAGACUAUUGUCGGACCUGCGACGUAUGUCAGAAGGUAGGAAAAAGCCAUCCCAGAGCCAAACUGCGUCCUCUUCCCAUAAUAGAGGAGCCCUUUUUCCGAGUGGCCGUAGAUUUAGUCGGGCCACUCAGCAAACCUAGUCCAUCUGGUAAGAAAUAUUUUCUUACUGUGGUGGAAUAUGCCACCCGUUAUCC